GGUGAGGUGGCCGAGAGGCUGAAGGCGCUCCCCUGCUAAGGGAGUAUACGGCUUGAUACCGUAUCGAGGGUUCGAAUCCCUCCCUCACCGCCA
rnacentral:tRNA from 11 species